rnacentral:ncRNA from 14 species
AGGCUGUGAUGAACAACAACAUUUCUCGAAUCUGAUAAUUACAAAAGCAAAUUAUAUUUGCUUUUUGAUGACCGUGUUUGUGCGUGUCUGAGCCUC